UGGUGGAGCGAUUUGUCUGGUUUAUUCCGAUAACGAACGAGACUCUGACCUACUAAAUAGUGGGCGGAUUCUUCCUGUCCUCAACACUUCUUAGAGGGACAAGCGGUGUUCAGCCGCACGAGAUUGAGCAAUAACA
rnacentral:rRNA from 1 species